rnacentral:lncRNA from 1 species
AUACAAAAGGCAGAGCUUAAAAAACUACAAGAACAUUUACAGACAGUGAAGAUACUAAGCAUAACAACAUAUGGCGAUGAUAAAUUAUAUUGUUAACAGUUCAUAAAUGGCCUGCCAAAGCAGAUUUUGAAGGAAAUCAUUGAAAAGGAAUGUUAGCACGUACUUGGACCACACACAAAAUUGUGCUGAAGGCCAAAAUAAUUAUUUACAUACAAAAUCGAAAGCAUUCUCAUAGAAAGAGGACAUGUACUAUUACUUGAGUGAUUCUUACCAUUCCAAGCAUUUAAUCUCUGAAGCUAAAGCUAAGUAUGAAACAAAUGCAAUAGAUUAUCAUUGCAUGUAUACACAAUAUCAUUUCAUUUAACUAUUACUAUAAUAGAACCAGGAUAAGACGUUACCUAACAUCAAGAACCUUAUAUCUCACUCAUUUUAGCUCUACUUGCAGCAAUUGGCCCACCAAAAGAAAGCUUAGGAUGCCUAGUUUUAAAUUAAACUAAUUUCACCUAAAACUUGAAAGAUAACUAAAUAAUAACAACUGUAGCCAAUUCUUUCAAGAUCCCCAAGAUCAAGCCUACUCAAAUGUUGAAGGCAUCAGAUAGAGACAAAGAAAGCAUGAACAUUUGAUCAAGAAGCCUGUAUGUAUGGAGUAGCUGAUUGCCAUUUUUUAACUCUUAAAAGAAAAGAAUUAUGAAUAAGGGGAGACCUGAUUCCCGUGGCCU